GCCUGCGUUCGAUUAGAUAGUUGGUGGGGUAAUGGCCUACCAAGUCUACGAUCUUUAGCUGUUCUGAGAGGAAGAUCAGCCACACUGGGACUGAGACACGGCCCAGACUCCUACGGGAGGCAGCAGUGGGGAAUAUUGCACAAUGGGCGGAAGCCUGAUCCAGCAAUACCGCGUGGGUGAUGAAGGUCUUCGGAUUGUAAAGCCCUUUUAGUGAGGAAGAUAAUGACGGUACUCACAGAAAAAGCACCGGCAAACUUCGUGCCAGCAGCCGCGGUAAUACGAAGGGUGCUAGCGUUGUUCGGAAUUACUGGGCGUAAAGAGUACGUAGGCGGCUUGGUAAGUCGAUUGUGAAAUACCUAGGCUUAACUUAGGAACUGCAAUCGAAACUACUUUGCUAGAGUUUGGUGGGGGGAUAGUGGAACUCCUAGUGUAGGGGUGAAAUCCGUAGAGAUUAGGAAGAACACCAGUGGCGAAGGCGACUAUCUAUACCAAUACUGACGCUGAGGCACGAAAGCGUGGGGAGCAAACAGGAUUAGAUACCCUGGUAGUCCACGCAGUAAACGAUGAGUGCUAGUUGUCGGGGCUUUGGGCUUCGGUGGCGAAGUUAACACGAUAAGCACUCCGCCUGGGGACUACGGUCGCAAGACUAAAACUCAAAGGAAUUGACGGGGACCCGCACAAGCAGUGGAGCAUGUGGUUUAAUUCGAUGCUACGCGAAAAACCUUACCACCUCUUGACAUCUGGAUGACCGGUACAGAGAUGUACUUUUGGAGCAAUCCACAUCCAAGACAGGUGUUGCAUGGCUGUCGUCAGCUCGUGUCGUGAGAUGUUAGGUUAAGUCCUUCAACGAGCGCAACCCUCAUCCUUAUUUGCCAUCGGAUUAUGCCGGGAACUAUAAGGAAACUGCCUGCGACAAGCAGGAGGAAGGUGGGGACGAUGUCAAGUCAUCAUGGCCCUUAUGGGUUGGGCUACACACAUGCUACAAUGGUGAUUACAGCAGGAUGCGAAAGAGCAAUCUGGAGCCAAUCCCUAAAAGUCAUCUCAGUUCAGAUUGGGGGCUGCAACUCGCCCCCAUGAAGUUGGAAUUGCUAGUAAUCGUAGAUCAGCACGCUACGGUGAAUACGUUCUCGGGUCUUGUACACACUGCCCGUCAAGCCAUGGAAGUUGUUUCUACCCGAAUAGGCUGAGCUAACCGCAAGGAGGCAGGUCUACACGGUAGGAGGGGUGACUGGGGUUAAGUCAUAACAAGGUAGCCGUA
rnacentral:rRNA from 1 species